rnacentral:pre_miRNA from 1 species
AUAAUUGCUAAUGCAGCAUCAUCAAGAUUCUCAUUGCUCUACCUGGACGGUGCAUGUGAAUCUUGAUGAAACUGCAUUUGCAAGCAA